rnacentral:rRNA from 1 species
UACGUAGGGCGCAAGCGUUGUCCGGAAUUAUUGGGCGUAAAGAGCUCGUAGGUGGUUUGUCGCGUUGUUCGUGAAAACCGGAGGCUCAACCUCUGGCGUGCGGGCGAUACGGGCAGACUUGAGUACUGCAGGGGAGACUGGAAUUCCUGGUGUAGCGGUGGAAUGCGCAGAUAUCAGGAGGAACACCGGUGGCGAAGGCGGGUCUCUGGGCAGUAACUGACGCUGAGGAGCGAAAGCGUGGGGAGCGAACAGG